rnacentral:SRP_RNA from 1 species
UAAUAAUAUUGUCGCAACGAGACACUUGUAACCUGGUCAGGCCGGAAACGGAGCAGCCACAUCAUUUAAGUCUUGUGUGUGACUUUUUUUGUACCAA